CCUACGGGAGGCUGCAGUGAGGAAUAUUGGUCAAUGGCCGGAAGGCUGAACCAGCCAUGCCGCGUGAAGGUCAGUGCCCUAUGGGCGUUAAACUUCUUUUGUGCGGGAGCAAUAAUGGUCACGUGUGGCCAGACGAGAGUACCGUACGAAUAAGCAUCGGCUAACUCCGUGCCAGCAGCCGCGGGAAUACGGGGAUGCAAGCGUUAUCCGGAUUUAUUGGGUUUAAAGGGUGCGUAGGCUGUGAGGUAAGACAGCGGUGGAAUGCCCCCGCUCAACGGGGUGAAGUGCCAUUGAUACUGCCUUGCGGGAAUGCGGAUGCCGUGGGAGGAAUGUGUGGUGUAGCGGUGAAAUGCAUAGAUAUCACACAGAACACCGAUUGCGAAGGCAUCUCACGAAUCCGCGAUUGACGCUGAUGCACGAAAGCGUGGGUAUCAAACAGGAUUAGAUACCCGAGUAGUC
rnacentral:rRNA from 1 species